UUUCACCCUCAGAUUUUCCAUAGAUUUUUGUAUAUUUUAAUUCUAAAAUCAGUAAUUUUACUUGUUGCUGUUAGAAGUAAUGAAAUACCAAGGGGUCGUUUGGUAGAGUGUAUAAGAAUAUUACUGAUAGGGUGUACUAGUAAUGCUGGGAUUAGUUAUGCUGGAUCAUUUCUUAUCCGCUGUUUGGUUUGGUUUAGUAUGGGCAGUUAUGUCUUUAACCAUGCUUAUCCAUGUAUUAGUACCCCGAUUGCUAAUGUUUGCUAUGUAUAAGAAUAGUACUGAAUAGGGUGUAUUAGUUAUACAUAGGUUGAAAAACACUACCAAACAAGAGAUUAAUAAUAUCAAAGUUAAUACAUGUAUUAUUUUCUCUAAUACAUCCUACCAAACAACCCCUAAUAGAUUUUAAAGUAAACUGAAUGGUAAAUCUUGCACCCAAAUCCCCGUGCCUAGGAGUCAACAGUGGCCCUUUCCCACUUUGCUUCUUAGCGACUCGAACUUCAAUCCCUGGGCUGGAAGUAGAGUACUCUUGCCACUAGAAAAACCUUUCUCAAGUUGGAUUUUUAUUUAAUGAUUGCAUUAAAUUAGCACCAAAUGUAUUCAGUUCCCUGUUAACAUCAAAUAGCUAUUCUUUCUUUCCUGUGUAUAUUCAAAAAUAUAAGAUGGUUUAGCUGUAUGUAUACGUAUAGGUGACGAACCAACAAGGGUGGCUCAGUUGGUUGAGCAUGAGGCUUUCAUAAUGGAGGUCUCAGGUUCGAAACCCCAUGCCUACGACAGCAGGGGAUUUGCCUUCUGGGUCGAGCUCGUCGCACAGGGCUUGCCUAUUGUGGGUAACCUCUCUUCUGUGGUUUGCGAGCUAUUGCCCAGGAGCUGGGUUUACCCUGUGCGCACCCGAAGGGUAGCGGUUGCGAGUUCCCAUGUCACUAAAAAAAAAUAGGUACAGGUGACGAGAAAGCUUUUCUUUGCUUUUUGGUGUUCACUCAAGAAGAAAAUUUAUGUAUAGGUGUAUACUCAUAUUUAGUUUAUAGUUUCAAAGAGAAAAGUAAAUUUUCUUUUAGGGAAAUGUGUCAUAGGAGAAUAAUAUUAGAAUACGGAGAGAAAGCCAAUGGAAACAGAUUUCUCUACAAGAGAUCAAGCUGCAAGAUUGUGUGUAAAAGAAGCACUGGAAGUCUUACGUUUGUUAAAACACAAAAUAAAGUCUAUGAUGCUAAUAUAAGCCAUAGGUUUAUCAUUCAUUACUCCAAAAGUAAAAGAUAGCUUACUUUUCAAAUGACUCUCCUGUAAGUUUAAUGGGUUCUCAAGAUAAGUUUUUCAACUAGAGGAUGAAGGCAUAAAAGUCACAUUAAUGUGGCAUUGGUUUUACCAAAGUAAGAGAUGUGUUGAUUACAAUUGCAUUUGUUGACGUUCCACUCAGGUAAUAAUUCUGCGGUCCUGAAUUUGAUUUUUCCAGAACAUUCUGCUGAGCAAUAUUUUGCAACUGCAAAAGAUCUAUUUAAAGUUGUUCAUGAUGAAUCCUUUAACUCGCUCCCCAAAGCUCCACAAGUUUUAGAGUUUGAUAACUUGAGUCUAGUAUUAAAAGGACACAAGAUGUAGAUGGAACCCCAUUAGCAAGGACAAAUAGACCUGAAGCGCGUUCAUCAUAGUUAAGCAAAAUCAUUUGAGCUUAGAGAGAUUAGAGGUAGCUCAUUGGCUCUUCAUAGACGAGAAGUCCUUUGAGCUAAGAGAGCCAGGAAGCAGCUCACAAAUGUGGUAUGAGCUAUUCAGAGGAAGAGAAACUUUUUAUAAAAAAGGGUUAAAGUCUACUUUAGCAUCCUAUGAUAGUUAUACAGGUGGUGGGAUUCAUAUCACAAGGAAUUGGAAAUUUGUGUUGAAGAUAGAGACGAUAGAGCACAUAAAAUGCAAGAUUGUGCAAAAUUUAAUAUGAAUGGUACAUGCUUACCCACAUGUGAGUUCACCUAUAUGAGUUUCACAUACUUGAUCUCAAGUUAAGAUAAAGGAGGAGGAUUACGGUAAGGUGGUUUAUUUUAUAACAGGCCAUUUAAGGUGAAAUCUAGAAAUUUAACUAUGUUGUAAGAAAUGAUUGGGUUGGGAAUUUAUUCGAGCGUUAAAUGAAAAUGGAGAAUCUAUUGUUUCUCUUUUGAGAAGUGGAAAUAAUUGAUAUUUGACUAGCAAGAAGAAUUGCUUUGAUUGGGAAGUUGAUGAUAUGACGACAUGAUUCUAGUUUGGCAUCAUUUGAAAAUGAAGAAGAUGAUCAUUUGGUCGGGACUGUGCAGAAAAAUGGCUUUUUCAAUUCAAAUCUUGUUACGUCGUCUUGGUUGCAGUAGCAUGUUGAUACUCCUCUAGCCUCUUGGCCUUGGAAGGUUAUUUUAGGGUCGAAGGUUCCGUUCCAAGUGGAAUACGUUUUUUGGGUUUUGGUUCAUGAUGACUAUUUAACUCAAGAAAACAUGCAGAAAAAGGCUUUCAUAUGUGCAACAAGCAUUUUGAAGAGAUGUUGAAGACAAGCUGACGCCGGAACGUCGGGGUUGUGCCAAUGUUGGCGAGGUUAAGAACCCCACUAUGACGCGAGAACCGAUAAAGAGGCCACCUUUGUUGGCUAAUACCAAGGAAAAAGGAAACUUACUCUCUUAAAAAAAGCAAAUUUGUAUGAAAAGUUUAUUACUCAAAAUAAGAUGGUUUUUAUUAAGGAUACUAGCCCUAUUUUAUAGGCUAUCAAAUAUAAAGGGUUAUAGUUUCUAAUCGGUGUGAGACAACAUGUCCUAAAGGAUAAGGAUAACUAUUAAUAUUAAAAGAUAAGAACAACAAAAAGUUUAUCUAGUUAAGAUAAGAAAAUAUAAGGAUGCUAAAAGAUAAGCUUGCAACAUCGUAACGUAAGCGCUUGCAUCAACAUGGAAUAAACGCUUGCAUCAUCAUGAGGUAAGCUCCUACAUCAGUGAAAAAGCCAAUUGUUCAAAGUUGAAAUAUUGGAGCCUUGACCCAUUGGAGCCAUUACUUAUUACUAAAAGAGUUUAUUUGUAUUCUGAUCAUGAAGCCCUCAAGCAUCUCAAUUCACAACAUAAGCUCAAUCGUCGUCAUGCAGCUUGGAGUGAGUUUAUUCAAGCAUUCUCAUUUCUUCUCAAGCAUAAGCGGGGUGUACUGAUGCCUUAAGUCAGCUUCUGCUUUGCUUUCUACCUUACAAGUGAAGGUUGUUGGAUUUGAAAUUGUGAAAGAGUUGUAUAACGAAGAUCUCGAUUUUGGUGAAAUAUGGAAGUCUGGCUCUCAAAGUACCUGUAAGCAGUUCCAUCAACAAGAAGGAUAUCUUUUCAAGGGUAACAACUUAUGUCUUCCGCAAAGUUCAUUACGUCAUUCUAUUAUCGAGGAAGCUCAUAAUGGAGGAUUGGCCAAACACUGUGGAAGAAAUAAGACUUUAGCUCUGAUAAAAGAAAACUUUUAUUGGCCCAAGAUAGAACGAGAUGUCAUUUGACAUAUCCAAAGGUGUCGUAUUUGUCACUUAGCAAAAGUUGACAGUCAAAACACAGGUAUGUAUAAGCCAUUACCUAUUCCUGAAGCUCCUUGGGAAGAUGUGAGCAUGGAUUUUGUCUUAGGAUUGUCAGAGACUCACAAAGGCAUGACUCAAUAAUGGUGAUUGUUGAUAUAUUUUCCAAAAUGGCUCACUUUGUGCCAUGUCACAAGUCUGAUAAUGCUUCUCGUAUUGCUGAUUUGUACUUCAAAGAGAGCAUGCGCCUUCAUGGAAUUCCAAAAACUAUCACUUUCGAUCUAGAUGUGAAGUUCAUGAGUCAUUUCUGGUGUACUAUGUGGAGAAAGAUGGGAACUCAUUUGCAGUUUAGCUCAGCAAACAAAAGUUUGAAAAAUUUAUUUCGCAACUUUGUUGGGAAGCAUUUCUGUUAAUGGGAUCUUAUGUUGCCUCAAGCAGAGUUCCCUUACAAUAACUCUGUCAGUUGUUUCCAACUGGUAAAUGUCUAGUUGAGGUGUUUAUAGGCAAAUGACCAAUAAGUCCUUUGGAUCUUCUCCCAUUGCCAACCAUUUGUGAGUUCAGUGCUGAUGCUAAAGAAUGAGCCAAGGAGAUCAAGAAGCUUCACGAGGGAGUUUGAGAUAAUAUUGUUUGGCAGAUUGCUCACUCUGAAAAGCAAGACAACAAGCACAAGAAGAAAGUUAUUUUCAAAGAAGGAGAUUUAGUAUGGAUUCACUCAAGGAAAGAAUGUUUUCCUAAAGUUUCGAAAGAAGUUAUCACCUCCAGCAGAUUACCCUUUUCGUAAAUUUGAGCGUAUCAAUGAUAAUGCCUAUAAGAUCAGAUUAUAUCUACCACUUUUAAUGUUGCUGAUCUAUCGCCUUACUAUGGGGAACAUAAAAAAGACUUGGUGUUUGAAGGCAAACCUCUUCCAACCCCAGAAGAACGCUUAUCACAUGCUGAUGCAGGCGCUUACCUCAUGAUGAUGCAGACGUUUAUUCCAUAUUGAUGUAGACGCUUAUGUUAUAAUGAUGCAAGCUUAUCUUUUAGUGUCCGUAUCUUUUCUUGUCUUAACCACAUCAAUCUUUUGUUGUUCUUAUUUUUUAAUUGUUAUCCUUAUCCUUUAGGACAUGUUGUCCCACAUCGAUUAGAAACCCCAACCUCUUAGAUUUGGUAGCUUAUAAAAUAGGUUUGUAUCCUUAAUGUAAACCAUCUUGUUCUGAGUUAUAAACUUAUCAUAUAAAGCUUUGUGCUUUAGUUUGCUUCUUUUGAAAGACUAUGUUUCCUCUUAAGAAGUAAUUGAGUUAUCCUUGGAAUUAGCCAACCAAGGUGGCCUCUUUAUCGGCAAUCGUGUCAUAAAGGGGUUCUUAACCUCGCCAGCAUUGGCACACUUUUGACGUUUUGGCAUCUGAAAGCAUUUGUUUUUGUUAUGUGAAGUCACAGGGCAACUUCGAUAGUUUUUUUUUUUUUUUUCAAACAUUGUUGGGUUAAGGAUUUUUUUAAUAGCCAUUUCUAUGGAGGUAGUAAUGAGCUGAAAAGAUUUGUGGUUUAUUUCUGUUUUUUUUCCCCCUCUACUAUUUGGAGAGCAAGGAACCUUAGAUUUUUGGAUAGCAAAGUUUUAUCUAUUCAUAUCUUGAAGUUUAGAUGUUUGUGUAACUUGGUGCAAUCUGGUACUCCUAGCAGGGAUGAUGUGGUUUUUGAUUAUGAAGAAAUUUACGUUAUCCUAAAGAGGAUAGAGGCCCAGGAUUUAUGCCCAAAAUUAGGUUCUAAAGGCACCAUUCCCUAUGAGAAAUUAUGACUUGAGUAUCUGAGAUAGGUCAACAAUUGUUGGCUUAUCUGACUAAGGUGGGGGUUAUGCUGAAGGCACAAGAGAUUUAUUAGAAUCUAUACAAAAUAGACAUCGAUACAUUUUUGUGUUUUCUAUGUGCUUACAUAUAAAUGAAUAGCUAACUUUUAUUGUUUCUGCCAAAAAAAAAAAAAAAAUUGGAAAAAAAAAUUGGACGACAAAUCUAUUGCACAAAGUGGAAGAAAGACAAUUUAUUCAGGAAGUUGAUGUAGAUCGAACAGUAGUAUGGGGUAAUAGGUAUGAUGUUGGGCAGAAUCAAAAGCUAGUGGAAAUAGUGGAGGCAUGUAAUUAUGUUGAGCCAAAAAAUGUGGAACUGUGCAAGGAGAAUGAAAAACAUCAUGUUUUAGUUAUCUUAGAUAGUGUGCUCCAAACUUUGUUGGUUCUUCACCGGUGUUUUUUGAACCAAAAGUGGAUUGAAAUGAAGGAACUAUAGCUUGAUAUAGCUGCCAUAAGGGGACUAGGGACUAGGGCAGUAGGACGGGACUUCACAGUGCUAGUUUCAUCGGAAACAUACUGAGAGAAUUGAGGUUUUUCGGUUCAUGAAAGAGUGUAGAUUUCAUUCACAAAGUGAAAUUGACUGACCUUUAAUUCAAUGGUGAUAAAUUCACACACAGAUGGAAAAAUGAUGGCUUUAUAUCUAAGAAUUGACGAGCUUUGAUAUUAGUGAGAUGAGCACCAUUUGAAUUAUAAGGCAAAGUGCACUCCCAAGAACUCUCUUAGACCAAACAUCUGGGUAAAUAAUUUGUGGAGAGUGGAUGCACUCCGAACAAAGAGCUUUUACGGAACAUGAAUACAUAAAUGCCCCAAAAUCUAGUUUGAACCAGUACAAGAGCCACUAAUACAUAAAUACAUAGCCUGAUGGAUAAUACAAGGCUCAAAACUAGAAAUACUAUCUCAAGGGUAUGAAUAGACAGAUAUGUAAAGGAAAUGUUCCCGGGUGGCAGAUCUGGCAAGUAGCUCACCCCGGAAUCUCUGUCAGGUAACCUCAGAAUCACUCGCGGUGACGGGAACUGGAGCCAACAACAAACUCUGCACUCAAGAAAAAGUGCAACAAGUGUAGUAUGAGUACAAACACACGUACUCGUAGGUAUCAUAGGCCGACAAUGAUUAGUUCGCGCAUACACAGACAUAAAUUAACAGAUAGAACAGAUAAGCAGUCGACACAACACACAACAAUAACAAUCAGGAAUGUCACACCAUAAUGAUAGACAUAAUGAAUCUCACAACUCAAGUCUUAAGCUUAGGUGGAGCCUCUAAUCCACAAGUAUUGUCAAGUCAUUAAUUAAGUCCUCACAACAACAAUAGCUCAAUACAUCAACAACCGCAAUCAAUAAAUAAUGUGCCAUGCGAUGAUAUAAUAUGCAAUGCAAUGUCCCGCAGGCCUCCUCUCCGUACCGCACACAUAUGCUAAGAACAAUGUCACAAUAGUCAUGACCUAUGGGGACCCGCGAAGUCCAUGUACCACGCUUGCUCGGGUAUGUACCUCGGAUCACGAGCACUCUCUUCCACUCCCGGAUGUUACCUCGGAUCACGAGCACUCUCUUUCUCUUUUACGCUCUCCGGCAAAGACGUGAGAGGCUCCACUCUCUCACUUAUCAUCAUUUCAAUGUAAUCAUGACAAGUCAAUAACACAUGAAUGUGGAAUGUAUGCUAUUCAUAAUUCAACCUCAACAACACAUGUAUAGAAGCCAUAAUAAUUGCCAUGAAUGCAAAUCAUAAUCUGAGUUAUCAGUAUCAACCCUUCCCCAUUUCAUAAGAUCAAGAGAUAAGUGAUGAAUCAAGCACCAUAGAGAGUCACAUCAAUGCAUGAAAAUCACAAGUAUGGCGACAACCCACAUCAAUUACAAGGAAAACACAAACAUGACGGUUGACAAUACCAACCUAGUCGGAAUAUAACUCCACACCAUGCUCGAAGGUCUAUCAUGCUUUCCCCGUCAAUCAUUACUAUACAUUAUGAUUCACUAAUCGAAGUCUGGACAUGAGUAAACCGUAACCUAUCUCGAAGCCGAGCAAGUGCCACGAACUAGUCCGCUAGAGCCUUCCCCUUUCGAAGAUCUUCCGAACGAUCAAAGUCUAGCAAAUUAUUAUACCACAUUAGAUUACGAGGCUAAUGAUACCCAUAAAGCCAUAAAACCAACCAAAAUAAAAAACGACCCUUAAAAGGGGACCCCCGGUCCCACAAGGGUAAAAUAGGAAUUUCAGCGGAAAAUUAGGUUACCCAAAGUCUAAAUAAUCAAUACCUCAAGUUUCAUGCAAUUCUAACCCCAAUUGGGCCUUGAUUUCAUCAAUAAUAAAAAACCCCCAAUUUGGAGAAAACCCUCAAUUUCCAUAUCAUGAUUCUUGAGAAAAAGGAAGAUUCAAGCUUAGGGACUAAUUACCCAUUGAUUAAAUACUUAGAAUCUAGGAAAUUCCUCAACAAAAGCCAUAAAAGUUUAAAGCAAGUUUUCAAAAUCAUUCUAGGGUUCAUAACCCAAAACCCCCAAUCUAACACAUGAUUUCUACCAGAGGCUCCCUUGUAUAAAGAUAAUAUAACAUAAAAGGAAAGUAGGAAGCUUACCCCAAUGAUGGAUCCCAAGAAAUAUCCACAAAAUCGCCCCUUAAUCUCUCUUUAGGUCUCAAGUUUGUGAAUGGGAAGAAAUGAUUUGAAAUUUGGGAAUUUAAGGUUCUGAACCCAGCAAUCUCGCAUUUGCGGAGAAAUGUCCGCAGAUGCGGACUCAUUAAACAGCUCACUACCUCGCAUCUGUGGGGCCAAGUCCCGCAUAGGCGAGCCCGCAGAUGUGACCCCAAGUCCGCAUAUGCGGACACCAGAAACCAGAAUUUUCUAUUUUUUUCACUAACUUCAACUCGAAACCCGACACUCAUCCGAGACCUCCCGGAUACAAACCAAGCAUGCAACCCACUAUAAAAACACGCUAUGAUCGCAUUCGCGCCCUCAGAAUUUCCAAACGAGGUCAUCUUGACCCGGUUAACCCCCUAAACCUUUCCAACCCAAAGACCAAAACGCCCCCGAGUGCCUCCGGAACCGAACCAAACACCCUACCAAGUUAGAAUCAACCCUCUGGAACUAAUGGAACCGAUGAAAAUCCCAAACAUACUCGUUAACCCAAAAGUCAACUAUUGGUCAACACUUUUUCGCUUAUUCAACUUAAAGGCUUCUAAAUUUCUCAAAACCAACCCGAUCACUUUGGGAACCGCGCUACCCAUCCCCACAAGUCAAGUACACUCUAACGAAACUAGGGAAAGGGUCAACAUGGGUAGACGGGGUAAAAUGCCUAAACGACCAAACGGGUCGUUACAUUUACCAUGGGUUUCUUUCCUCUUGUUGGAAUAUAACCAAGGAGGAUAUUAUGCUGACUAUGUAGAACUUUCUUUCUUAGGAUUUUUUUUGCAAAAUUAUCAACGUAUGUGGCUUUAAUCCUAAAAGAGAAUGGCACUAAAGAAUUGAGAGAUUUUAGGCCUAUCAGCUUUUGAGAGAUCAUUUCAAAAGUGCUGACAGAGAGGCUUAAGAAAAUGGUGUAUAAGUUGGUUGAUACUCAUUAGAUGACAUUCUUUAAGGGCAGACUAAUAAUGAAUGGAAUUUUGAUAGCAAAUGAGUGUGGUCUCGAGAAUUAAGGAGAAGAGACUUGGGAUUUUUUGCAAAUUUGAUUUUGAGAAGGUAUAUGAUCAUCUAAUUUCUUAAUUAAGAUGAUAAAUGAUAUGGGAUUUGUUCGAAAAUGGAUCAAAUGGAUUUUUUUUAAUGCAUCGAUAAUGUUAGAUUUUCAAUUUUGAUAGUUGGAUCCAUUUUACGGAGGAUUGAGACAAGGCGGCUCUCCAUCACUUUUUCUCUUUAUUUUAGCUAUUGAACGUUUCAGCACAAUGGUUUAAGACAGCAAAUUAGAAUGGUUGGAUUAGGGGAUUAAAGUGUCCAACAAUGAAGCAAAUAAUCUGGAACCAUUCACCUCCUUAUGCUGAUGACUCUAAUUUUUUUGUGAGGGUAAGGUUGGACUAUUUAGACAUCUAAGACUGAUCCUUAGAAUAGAAAACCAAGAACCUUGGCAUUAGAAUAGAAAACCAAUCAAGUUUAUCUAGAAUAAAGAAAUCUUAACAAGUGAUCGAUUUACCUUGCGAAGAUCAAGAGUUGUUCAAUGAAGGUUUUUCCUCCGUCAAAAUGAUAUCAAAGAGCAUCCAAAAUUAAUGCUAAAUGAGCCAAGGUUUCUACGUUAUAAUCCCCUAGAAAGUGUGCUAAAAGACAAGGUUUCCCUUAACCCACUAGACUUGUUUGCUUUCUUUAGAGUUCAUCUUGUGAAUUUGGCCACCUUUACAACACACAAAAAAGGUAGUUCGGCAGUCAAGAAUCUCAACUACACAAAAAAAGCAUACUCUUCGAAUAGUUGGGAGAUUCAACGGUGAACAAGAAGAAUUGGGGGAAAAAGGUAAUCAUGGCUAAGUAUUGAAAAGUUGCCCAAGGUGUGCAAAAUUGAUAUCAUCCUCUCUAAGGUAGAUGCGGAUGCAUGAUUUUGAACUUUAUGGGUUCAACUUUUAAGAUUCUUAAAAAAAAAAAAAAAAAAAAAAAUUAUGGGAGGAAUUCCAAAAACAAAGAAUAUAUGUAUUCUUUGCAUGAAUGUAACAUUUUUGCUCCGUGUCAAAAAUGUUACAUUCAGUUGAACCCGUAGUUAUAAACUCCAUCUGCCUGUCUCAAGGUGUGGCAGCUUGGGGGAGGAAUUCCAGAACUUGGUGAAAUGAAAAGCUGGUGAUAGGAGAAAGAUAAUAUUAUGGAAGUAUGCUAGGGUAGGGUCUAUCGGAAACAACCUCUCUACAUCCCAAGGUAGAGGUAAGGUGUGCGUACACUCUAGCCUCCCCGGACCCCACUUGUGGGAAUAUACUGGGUAUGUUGUUUUUGUUGCUCGGGUAGAUGAUGUCACCUUGAAGAAAAGCCUUGUUGAUCAUUUUAAAUUUUGGUACUCGCCUCGAGGUUGCAAUAGAUGAAUGUGGAUUUGGAAUUUUAGGUUAUACAGAAAAAUUUCCCCAAUUAUGAAGUGGUCGACUUUGUUUUCUACUUCAAGCUGCCGCUUUCUACUUCACUGAUUGACUUUAGGAAGUAAGGUUACUUGAAUUGUUUAAUUUGCCGAUGGUAUGUUCUAUUGAUUGUUAAGUAAGUUUUUCUGGUCUUACCAGCGAAGUCAUAUGCAGUGAAGCAAUGUUGUAUUUGUUUAUGUUUGACUGCUAGGAAAUGUGGUAGCUUCUUCAAAUUGCACGCGAAGAAAUAUGUUGGGUGUUUAAUCAUUCUAAGUACUGGUGACCUUCGAAAAGCUUUUGUGAUCUCUUUCUUCUUCCUUUCUUUUCAUACCUAUUUUUUGCACUAUCAGGGUAGAAGGCUAGUAGGUAGGGGUGUACAUGGACCGGGUUGGUUCGGAUUUCUUAAACAUCAAACCAAACCAAUUGCGUCGGGUUUUUAAAUUUAUAUACCAAAUCAAACCAAUAAAAUUCGGGUUUUUCAACCUCGGGUUUUCUCGGGUUAUUCGGUUUUCUCGGGUUAUUCGGGUUGUUUUCGGAAUAGUCUUGAUACAAAAUAUAUAACUUUUACUUUAAAUAUUUCUUUAGUCCUAGUAAGAUACAACUAUGCAAUUAAAGUGUUUCAUAAGAAAAUAACACAAAAUGUGAGAAGAGUGAUGACAUUGUAUUAAAAUAUUCAACAAAAGAUAAUAAAAUCGGUUAAAAUAAAUAUUGCUAAUUAAUAAGCCAUAAAGAAAAUGACCAUAAUCUAAAAAUACUAAGUCAUCCUAAAAUAAGUACGUCUAAUAAGUAUUAAUUACAUGACAAGAAAAAAAAAACUUGAGUAAUGUAUUUUCACUCUCUAAACCAAUUAUGCAAAACUAAAGGAGAUAUAUCCUACAUUAUUGUCAUUCUUAGUGGUAAAUUGAAUUUCUUUUGUUAGUAUUAGUGUUGAGUUGGUUUUGCUUUUGACUUUAUAUGAGUUAAUAACAUCCAUAGGAUAUAAAACCUAUUCACAUUCAAAAUUCUAAUUUCAAGCUUGAAUAAUAUGAUAAUAGAUAAAAAACUACAAAAACAAAUUUAAGAAAUAUUUAUAAAUUACAUUACAAAUAAAUAUUUUUAUGUAUAAAAUAUUUUAAAAAUUGAAUACAUGUAAUGUCGGGUUGGUUUGGUUCGGUUUGACUUUUUUUAGCUAAAACCAAACCAAACCAAUUAUGGUCGGGUUUUUUUUUUCAACACCAAACCAAGUCAAACCAAACCACUAAUCGGAUUUUUUUCUCGAUUUGAUUUGGUUUAUCGGUUUGGUGCGGUUUGUCGGUUUACUUUGUACACCCCUACUAGUAGGUAGUCGCGUUUAUCCUUUCUUGCGAGUAGUUGCAUUGAUCUUUAGUUUCUUGUCUCUUGAUUUCUGCGAGUAUCUAUUUGCACAGAAUGGUUUAUCAUGGCUUAUUCACUUUCGUUGUUUUCAUUUUCAUAAUUGCUUUGAAUUGUUUACCCGUAUCUAACCUUUCCUAUGCUUUUUCUUGACCCGAGGGUCUUCCGGAAACAGCCUCCCUACCUAAGGUAGUGGUAAGGUCUGCGUACAAUCUACCCUCCCCAGACCCCACAUUGUGGGACUCACUGGGUAUGUUGUUGUUGUUUUCGCGCUAUCAAAUCAACUCAUCAGCUUGAAAUCUCAGCAAACAUACAAAUAGCCAGUUCCUUUCUGGAAGAAGCAAAUUUUGGUACUGCUGUUCCCAUGACUAUUCAAGGCCUGGAAUCUUAAAAUCUCCAUCUUUCUUUUUCGCUAAGUGCUAAUGAAUUUUUAUUCUUCUGCUGAGCAGGAUAGGGAAAAUCUUGAGUUUUCCGUCGUUGGAAGUUCUAUAAUAAUUUUUGAAAGAAGGGGAAGGGCAUUAAUAAUAUUAGAUGUAUUAGGCACAAGAGCUCACAUGCAACGCCUCAUAUACCUUCGAUUAGUUUUGAGAAUGAAGUUGUGGGCUUGACAGCGUAAGUAUGGCAACAGGUUCCUUGUGGGUCUAUGCAAUUACUAAUGAAGAACGCUGAAGAAGCAAUUAUAAAAGAAUUCUGAGUCUAAAUAUUGUCCCUCCUUGGUAAGGAACAGGUAGUUUCAACUCCUUGUAAGGUAGUAUCAGUGACCGUGUUAACUAGUUUAGGCCUAAAUAGCCUAUGACUUAAUCCCCCACUAUACCGGUUGCCAGCUGGCACUAAUUGAAUUUACUGUUUGAGAUUAUGGUAUCAGUGUGAGCCUUACAACUACAAUAGUACGACGACUUAGGUAAGCCUACGGAUUGGUAGCUCCUCCCUUUUUUUUAUUUAUAUAUUGUGAUAAAGAGUGUUUCCAUUGAAGUAGUUUGAGCUUGUCACUAGGUGGUGUCAAGGUGUGAGUUUUAGCUUAGGCACAGAUUCCUGGAUUGAGUAGUAAGAAAACCAUGGUCUCUUGUUAGUGUGUCUGCAUGUGUCAUUGGGGCAUGACAAGAAUAACGUUUUGGCUUUCGGGGCCCAAAAUACUAAGUUAAAGGGCCUGCGAAUAUUCCAUGAUAAAUUAAGAAGUUGAUAUAUAUUUUUUGAUAGAGAAGAAAGUUAGGAUAUUAUUUGGCUGAAGAUUAAUAUAAUUGUUGAUUCAUUUUGGUUCUUCUCAUUAUAAAAGUGUUUGUUUUAGCAUUCUAAAAAAAGGUGUGUUUUUAGAUUCUAAUGACAAUUUCAGACUUUUAGUGGCUAAAUUAGAGCUUCUGGAUCAUGUCAUACGCUUGCUGAUUCAUCGAACUAUAAGGAAGUCGACAUUAGACCCUCUUAAAUUUUAUUGAUGGAAUUCCACUGACCAAAGAUGAGAUAUAGAGGGAAGCUUAAUCUGAUGCAAAGAUAACAGUUGAGAUUAGGUUUCAUACGAUACAUAUAUUGUAGCAACCCAUAGGGCAUGGUAUUAUUCAUCCUACGAGGUAAUUGAUAUGGAUUUCUGUCCUUGUCUAGUGAAUAUCCAAAUUUUCAUAUACAAUUCCUAUUAUUUUGAAACAAUGUAGAGGUAUGACAAUAAGCACGUAUUAAAAAAAAAAAAAACACGUAUAAGCGAGGCA